rnacentral:rRNA from 1 species
GCGAAAACUUUACAAUGCCGGCAACGGCGAUAAGGGGACCUCGAGUGCCAGGUUACAAAUCUGGCUGUCGUGAUGCCUAAAAAGCAUUGCAUAGCAAGGGCCGGGCAAGACCGGUGCCAGCCGCCGCGGUAACACCGGCGGCUCGAGUGGUAACCGUUAUUAUUGGGACUAAAGGGUCUGUAGCCGGCCGGAUAAGUCUCUUGAGAAAUCCAGCAGCUCAACUGUUGGGCUUUCAGGAGAUACUGUCUGGCUCGAGGCCGGGAGAGGUGAGAGGUACUUCAGGGGUAGGGGUGAAAUCUUGUAAUCCUUGAAGGACCACCAGUGGCGAAGGCGUCUCACCAGAACGGACCUGACGGCAAGGGACGAAAGCUAGGGGCACGAACC